UUCGUGCCAGCAGCCGCGGUAAUACGAAGGGACCUAGCGUAGUUCGGAAUUACUGGGCUUAAAGAGUUCGCAGGGGGUUGAAAAAGUUGGUGGUGAAAUCCCAGAGCUUAACUCUGGAACUGCCAUCAAAACUUUUCAGCUAGAGUAUGAUAGAGGAAAGCAGAAUUUCUAGUGUAGAGGUGAAAUUCGUAGAUAUUAGAAAGAAUACCAAUUGCGAAGGCAGCUUUCUGGAUCAUUACUGACACUGAGGAACGAAAGCAUGGGUAGCGAAGAGGAUUAGAUACCCUCGUAGUCCAUGCCGUAAACGAUGUGUGUUAGACGUUGGAAAUUUAUUUUCAGUGUCGCAGCGAAAGCGAUAAACACACCGCCUGGGGAGUACGACCGCAAGGUUAAAACUCAAAUGAAUUGACGGGG
rnacentral:rRNA from 1 species